CCCCGAGAGCCCACCGAGCCUUUCAGAACGGGAGGUCAUUCUCCCCGAAGACGGUGCUGUUUGCUCGGGAGAAGAAGCAGCCGGCAAGCAGCCGUGUCUCCAGCGGGGUUCAAAGCCGAACUGUGCCCCUUUCCCUGUUCCCCCGGCGCCCCUGCCCCAGGGUCGCAACCGCGGGAGGGUUUUCUCGCCCAGGAGCGUGAGCCCCUGCUCUCCUGCCCUGGGUGGCACUGUCAGGACCUACACUGCUCCAGCAUGUAAACAGCUUGGCAGGUGUGAUAGCAGUGCCCAGAUCGUGUCUUUUGAUUCAGCAAGUCUCUUGUCUGUCAAAAGUGGUGUUGACUGUGAGUUU
rnacentral:lncRNA from 14 species